GAUGAACGCUAGCGGCAGGCCUAAUACAUGCAAGUCGAACGGUGUAGCAAUACACAGUGGCGCACGGGUGCGUAACACGUAUGCAACCUACCUUACAUUGGGGGAUAGCCUUUCGAAAGGGAGAUUAAUACCGCAUAAGACAGUAACUAGGCAUCUAGUAGCUGUUAAAGAUUUAUCGAUGUAAGCUGGGCAUGCGUCCAAUUAGUUAGUUGGCGAGGUAAUGGCUCACCAAGACGAUGAUUGGUAGGGGAACUGAGAGGUCAAUCCCCCACACUGGAACUGAGAUACGGGCCAGACUCCUACGGGGGACAGCAGUAGGGAAUAUUGGGCAAUGGGCGCAAGCCUGACCCAGCCAUGCCGCGUGCAGGAAGAAGGCGUUAUGCGUUGUAAACUGCUUUUAUACAGGAAGAAACGACCCUUGCGAGGGGCAUUGACGGUACUGUAUGAAUAAGCACCGGCUAACUCCGUGCCAGCCGCCGCCGUAACAC
rnacentral:rRNA from 1 species